rnacentral:rRNA from 1 species
CCUACGGGUGGCAGCAGUCGAGAAUCAUUCACAAUGGGGGAAACCCUGAUGGUGCGACGCCGCGUGGGGGAAUGAAGGUCUUCGGAUUGUAAACCCCUGUCAUGUGGGAGCAAAUUAAAAAGAUAGUACCACAAGAGGAAGAGACGGCUAACUCUGUGCCAGCAGCCGCGGUAAUACAGAGGUCUCAAGCGUUGUUCGGAAGCACUGGGCGGAAAGCGUGCGUAGGCUGUUUCGUAAGUCGUGUGUGAAAGGCGCGGGCUCAACCCGCGGACGGCACAUGAUACUGCGAGACUAGAGUAAUGGAGGGGGAACCGGAAUUCUCGGUGUAGCAGUGAAAUGCGUAGAUAUCGAGAGGAACACUCGUGGCGAAGGCGGGUUCCUGGACAUUAACUGACGCUGAGGCACGAAGGCCAGGGGAGCGAAAGGGAUUAGAUACCCUGGUAGUC